GAUGAGCGCUGGCUACAGGCUUAACACAUGCAAGUCGAGGGGAAACGACGGGGAAGCUUGCUUCCCCGGGCGUCGACCGGCGCACGGGUGAGUAACGCGUAUCCAACCUGCCUCUGACUGAGGGAUAACCCGUCGAAAGUCGGCCUAAUACCUCAUGGCAUCGUCUGCGGGCAUCCAACGACGAUUAAAGAUUUCAUCGGUCAGGGAUGGGGAUGCGUCUGAUUAGCUUGUUGGCGGGGUAACGGCCCACCAAGGCUACGAUCAGUAGGGGUUCUGAGAGGAAGGUCCCCCACAUUGGAACUGGGACACGGUCCAAACUCCUACGGGAGGCAGCAGUGAGGAAUAUUGGUCAAUGGGCGGGAGCCUGAACCAGCCAAGUAGCGUGCAGGAUGACGGCCCUAUGGGUUGUAAACUGCUUUUAUGCGGGGAUAAAGUGAGGGACGUGUCCUUCAUUGCAGGUACCGCAUGAAUAAGGACCGGCUAAUUCCGUG
rnacentral:rRNA from 1 species